AGACCCGAAACCCGGUGAUCUAGCCAUGGGCAGGUUGAAGGUUGGGUAACACUAACUGGAGGACCGAACCGACUAAUGUUGAAAAAUUAGCGGAUGACCUGUGGCUGGGGGUGAAAGGCCAAUCAAACCGGGAGAUAGCUGGUUCUCCCCGAAAGCUAUUUAGGUAGCGCCUCGUGAAUUCAUCUCCGGGGGUAGAGCACUGUUUCGGCUAGGGGGCCAUCCCGGCUUACCAACCCGAUGCAAACUGCGAAUACCGGAGAAUGUUAUCACGGGAGACACACGGCGGGUGCUAACGUCCGUCGUGAAGAGGGAAACAACCCAGACCGCCAGCUAAGGUCCCAAAGUCAUGGUUAAGUGGGAAACGAUGUGGGAAGGCCCAGACAGCCAGGAUGUUGGCUUAGAAGCAGCCAUCAUUUAAAGAAAGCGUAAUAGCUCACUGGUCGAGUCGGCCUGCGCGGAAGAUGUAACGGGGCUAAACCAUGCACCGAAGCUGCGGCAGCGACACUGUGUGUUGUUGGGUAGGGGAGCGUUCUGUAAGCCUGUGAAGGUGUGUCGUGAGGCAUGCUGGAGGUAUCAGAAGUGCGAAUGCUGACAUAAGUAACGAUAAAGCGGGUGAAAAGCCCGCUCGCCGGAAGACCAAGGGUUCCUGUCCAACGUUAAUCGGGGCAGGGUGAGUCGACCCCUAAGGCGAGGCCGAAAGGCGUAGUCGAUGGGAAACGGGUUAAUAUUCCCGUACUUGGUGUUACUGCGAAGGGGGGACGGAGAAGGCUAUGUUGGCCGGGCGACGGUUGUCCCGGUUUAAGCGUGUAGGUGUGUGUUCCAGGUAAAUCCGGUUCACUUUAACACUGAGGCGUGAUGACGAGGCACUACGGUGCUGAAGCAACAAAUGCCCUGCUUCCAGGAAAAGCCUCUAAGCAUCAGGUAACAUCAAAUCGUACCCCAAACCGACACAGGUGGUCAGGUAGAGAAUACCAAGGCGCUUGAGAGAACUCGGGUGAAGGAACUAGGCAAAAUGGUGCCGUAACUUCGGGAGAAGGCACGCUGACAC
rnacentral:rRNA from 1 species